UUCCGUCCAUUGUGCAAGGGGCUUAAGAGUCAAUUACGUUCGAUUACUACAAAGCAGCUUAUUCUAGUGAACAAAGUUAUUGUACCGAAAGUGGGAAAAGUGACUAAUCAAAAUAAAUAAAAAAUAUCAUUACUAACUGUGUUUUACAGGUGGUAUGGUUUGGCGAGGUUAUUCUCAUUGUGGCAGUUGACUCAGGUCACUCACUUCAUCUAUUUAGGUGGUAUGAAUCCCGUGGACUCUGCAGGACAUUAUUUUAAAUGUGCCUUUACUAGCGAUAUAGAUAUUUUAUCUCAUGUCACGUGGCUGGGUACAAAAAAUUUAUACGCUUUAAAAGGAACUCGCUUCGCCGAAGCAUGUAAAGAUCACGUCUUUAUUAUAUUAUUUUGACUACAUUGCUUUCAUAUCUGAUUAAUGUUAAAGAUGCAUUCAUAUUUAAUUUACGUUAACAAUGUUUUUUCACAGAUGCAAUGGCUAGAAAUCGUGACUACUGCCGACCAACUAAUAUCGAGUUUGCUGAAGCAAUGACUCGCGCUCUUUAAAGUUUAAAAGAGAGGCGACGAAAACGUCAAUUAGUCGCAGAUUUGAACAACCAACAUCAGCAAUUAGAUAAUCGACAACGUUGAAGAGAAAGACCGUCAAGUUCGUAGAUGUCAUGUGAAAAAAACAACCUCUGCUAGAGUUCACAGAAUAUCGCCAGAGUUGCUACCUUUCAAAGCACUGAUGUAAGUUUAAGCAUUUGUAAACUACAUUGUCAUUUUGUCAACAUAUGAAAAAGUAAAAAAAUCCGAAAAGUUUAUAUUGCUGCAAUAAUACAAAAAACAUUAAGUUUGUCUUAUCACUCGUCAAGUUUCAGCAAA